CAGGAAUCCUUUUGUUCAAAUAAAUUGAUUGUUAACAGCUGGAGUUCAGUAGGUUAUUUAUUUUGGCAGGAUAGGAGAGUGUAAGUAUUUGUUUGUGAUUGUGAAAGCAUUGAGCAUGGCGAGGGUGAUUGUACGGUAUUUCAUAGGUUUCAUGUUUCGUGUUACUUUAUUAUUGUAGAUUUUGUAUUUUGAUAUCAACCUACUCGUUAAGAUAUAAACACGAAUAUAAAUAAAUAGCAGCCACUUGGUCUGCAAACGGGUUCAGGUUUCAAUUUGUGUGUAGGUGGAUUCAUUAUUUCAUAAGAAAAAGGUUCACAGGCACGAAAAUAACUAACGGGUUAGGUUCUCUUUUUUUUUAUAUUAUACCUUAAGACUAUAUUGUACUUACACUGCGGGUCAUAAGGUUAGAAGCAGGAUUUUUUGAGAAGUUAAAUCGAUAUUUCUCCCAUUACAUAAUGGAUUAAAAAAAAUAACUAUGGUCAAUGAAAGACUAUUUUGUUAACAACACAACAUACAUUUUGGGUAUAGAAUAUAUUAAGCUAACUGAACUUCUAAGACAAAUUGUUAAUUAAGUCAAGAAUAUGCGGAAAUAAAUCGGGUCAUUAGAUUAGAAGCAUAUAAAAUAAAUGAAAAUAAAAUGCAGUUAUUCAUAUUUUGUUUAAGUUUUUUGGGUUUUAUUAAAUAUUUAAUAAUGUGUGCUGCCACCAGCCUUUAAAAUUGCUUCAAAAAUUCUAUCUUUUAGGGAUUUAUAAAGAGAUUCCAAGUAGUCCAGUAAAAUCUCACUCCACUCCAAUUUGAUACCAUGAAUAAGGGCUUCCUUGUCAUCGUAUUGCUUCUCUCCCUCAUACACCUUACGUGUAAGCCAGCCCCACACAUAUUCCAUUAUGUUAAGGUCUGGGGAAUAUGGUAUCCAAGGCAGCAAGCAGAUGUUUUGGUUUGCAAUGAAGGAUUCUACCUCUUGGGCUGUGUGUAUCGGAGCGUUGUCCUGCUGAAAAAUGUAUGAAAUUGGUCCGAAAAGCUCGGCAAUUUUGGGGAAUACUGAUUCCAGCAAGGCUUUGUAGGUUUUUCCAGUCAUUUUACUAUCUUGGACUACCAAGUCUAUAGUGCCAUAAAAUGAAAUUGAGCCCCAGACCAUAACGCCUUCUUCUCUGCUAUGGUGACGGUUUAAAAACCGCUCUUCUUUCCUCAUGUCAUGGAAAUAAUAAUUAUAACCAUCUGGGCCAUCUAGGUUAAAUUUUUUUUCCUCGGGAAAAAUAACCUUCCGCCAAUCAUUUGUAGUCAUUGAACUCUGCACAUCCGAGCUCAUGUGAUCUUUCGCAAAACAAAAGCUUUGCUUCUUCCUUGCGUCAUUAAGUGGUGGUUUUUUUUUAAGCUUCAGGCAGUGAAGUGUAUCCUUUAUAAUUUUUUAGAUACGACGAUGGAUUUUUUAAAUAGUUGCUGACACAAUGAUCACUUCGAUUUAUUUUUUGGGCUAUAGCACGGCUCUUAAGACCUUCAGAGUAAGAACCAUCUAUUCUUGCAAUUUCCUCCACUGUCAACCAUUUUGUCUUGCCCAUUUUUAUAACAACUCAAUAAACAACAAUUAAUUUAUGAAAUGCACCGUUUAUACCGAAAACAAAAUGAAUUCACUUCACAAGACAACGUUUAAAUGUUCACUGCUUCUAAUCUUAUGACCCGAUUUAUUUUCGCAUAUUUUCGACUCAAUUGACAAUUUGUCAUAAAAGAUCCGUUAGCUAAUCCUCUAAUAUUCCCAAAUUUUACAUUUUGUUGUUAACAAAGUAGUCUUUCAUUUACUAUAGUUGUUUUUUUCUAAUCCACCAUGUAACGGGAGAAAUGUCGAUUUUACUUCUCAAAAACGCCUGCUUCUAACCUUAUGACCCGCAGUGUAUAUUGAGUAAAAUAAAACUACUUGGGUACAUUUGAUGGGUUUAUACCUCUGCACAUACAUUAUGUAUGUAUAUUGAAUUUAUUACUUCAGCUUUUCGUUCACGUUUUAAAACUCUGGAUGAUUAAGUUUCAAUGUGUAAAUAUUACUUUCCUUACAAAAUACAAAUAAGGUAAGAAAGUUUUUUUUUUUUAAUAUACAUAGUUUAAAGUUAUUAACAGAGUUUUUAAUUUCUUGAGAAAGAAUCUUUUCCGAAAUCAUUUUUUAAGCGCAUGGAUUUGCGCAAUAUUUAAUUAAAAAUUACGUUUUUUUUUGUCGAUUCAAAAGCGACCUUUGACACGGUUAAUAGGAGUUCUUUAAUUUAUGCUUAUCAACAAAAUUUUUCAACUUAUAUAAGCUUCUUAUAACCGAUACCUCUGCUGCUAUAUGGAAUGCAAAUAGAAUGUCUUAUUUCUUCAAUACAAGUUCUGGUGUUCCACAAGGUUGCUGAUUAAGUCCAUUAAUGUUUGCACUAAGUUAAAGUUUAAAAAUUAUAAAUAGGGCACAAAUAUGUGCGAUAAGUUUAUGUUAAUUCUAAUAUUCAAAGUGUAUAGUUUUGGUUAGGCUUGAAUAAAGUUUUUUAAAACCUAAAUAAAAGGGUUAGCUUUUUAAUUCAUUGAUAUAAUAUUGAUGACGUAUUCAAAGAUUUCCCUGAUGCUAUUAAGUUUGGAGAAACAUUAAAAAAAAUGCUCCUAUACGCGAAUGACAUUCUACUAUUGGCUGAUAAUCCCAUAGCUUUGCAGUUACAAAUAAACAAGCUCAAGCGUUUUUGUUAUUUAUGGCAUUUAAGUAUAGAGUAAGGGCGGCAAAUUAGGCCUACGUGGCUAAUAUGGGCUACAACGGUAUUUCCCAAACCGAAGCCAAAGCGAAAAAAAUGUUGCAUUACGAACAUGUUCAAACGGGUUUAGCCUCAGUCUUUCGUACUUAAUGUUUUAAUGCAUUAGACUUAAAUUUAUGGUUUUUUUUUAAAUGUUAAGGGUGGGCCAUAUUUACCGCAUUUACUGUAAAUGUUCCAAAUUCGUAAAUCAUGGUAUUUGAAAAUACUCAUUGAAGAACAACAAGAAAUGUUGUUUGGAACGUGAACCAAUAGAAAUAGUAAAUCAGUGCAAAUACUUAGGUUUCUUGAUAACUCGUAACCUUGAUUUUCCCACACAUGUAAAAGAAAAAUGCACUGCAGCGAAAACGGCAAUUAAUCUUAUGUGGAGUAAUUUCUUCUUCUAAAUUAAGAGUGUUGAUGGAACCAUUAAAACAUGCCUGUGCUAUGCAAGUGUUUGGCUAAUAAAGGACUGACUCAAAUCUUCAAAAACUGAUAUUAAAAUAUGCACUUAGACGUCAAAUAUCGCCUUUCAAAGAAUGGAAUGAUCUAGCUUUUUAGACACAGCGUAGACUUCGACCUCAAUAAUACAGCCAUACAUACCAAUUGGCAGUCCAUUCCUGCAUAUUACAGCUGUAUAGCUAAAAUAGAUGAUUCCCUGUAUUUGAAAUGUCUGAAUAGAUCGACAACUACCCUUAUAUAUAAAGAAUUGAACCACACACUUUUUAUUCGAAAUUAUUUUAACGAAAAACUCACUCUUAAUCAAAUGAGUGUUAUCUUUUAAGCAAGGACUGAAAUGCUUUGUUUAAAUUAUAGACCUCACAGAACUGACCUUCGCCCGAUAUGUAGUUUGUGCAAACCGCAAUGAAACUGAAAACGUGUAUCAUUUUCUAGCUUCUUUCUUUUUACCAUAGAGGAAAUAUAUUAUCUAGAGUCCCGACUUAAUGGGUUUGCUCUCUUUCGGCCUACAAGCUAAAUUGUGAGGAUUUUAUCCAUAAGGAUAAGCAUGUGUUAGUGGUCCCGUGCAUUUCUUAUGGGACUAAGCCAUUAUGAAUGUAGUUGUUAUGGAAUUUGUGCCCACAUUGCUCGACCGCGGGGGAAAAAACUAUGAGGUGAACUCAGCCGUUCAAAAAAGAGAUCCGUUGAAUUCAAAAAUUGAAAAUAAAUGCAAUAUUUUAAGAAAAAUUAAUUUUGCAACUUCUUUUUAGUGAAAACAGUGCUUAAAAUAAUAUUUAACUGCUUUUGGCAAACAAAUUCUAUCAUUUUUAUGAAAAGUUUAGCUAAAAACAGAAUAAAUAAUGCCGAAAGUAUAGGCGCACCCUAGAACUGCAAUGCGAACGUGGCGCAAUUUGAGUUGUACCCAGUUUUGACAGAUCAAAAGCGAGAGUCAACUAAUUCAUCGAUCUAAAAAGUGACUUCAUCAUAUCCGAAGAAGUAUUUCCCUACGUAACUUGGCUCUAGCUGAUAGAGGAUUCUUUCAGGAUCUCUUUCCAGACACCGCUGGGUAAGUUGUAUAUUGUUUUGUAUGUUUAUAAAAACUAUAAGAAAUCGUAAUGAAUUAUAUUCUGUUCUUCUUAAAACGGUAUUCCGGAAAUGGCAAAACUUUUCACAACAAACAAUCUACGCCGGCUUUGAUCAAGCUGCCGAUAGUCUAACGUUGGCAAUCUCCUGGUAAUAAUUGGACUUCUGCAUGGCAUCGAGAAAGACACAAUCCAAUUGCGUUAGUUGGAAUACGGGUCUUAUCGGUAAUCCUAGUGGCAAAACAAAACGAAAUAAACUAGGGUUGUCGGUCAUUGAGACAAAUUAGAGUCGUCAACAAUGCAUCAUGGUAAGAAAAUCUGAAUGUAGAGGACUUUGUUGCCAAUAUGGGAAGACACUUUCGAAUGGGAUUACUGCUCUCAAUAUCGUCAGUCCAGUCGCGACUUAAUAGUGCAGCUAGAAUGAGCUUUACCGAAUUCACAUAACAAAUUUUCCAGGGUUAUGACUUGUUGCAUUUGCUUCAGAAAUACAAUUGUCGCUUUCAAAUGGGAGGCAGUGAACAAAUGGGUAACUUAAUUACUGGCCACGAACUAUCAGCAGAGUAGAAAAAAAGAAAUCAGUAUUUGGAUUGGCACUUCCAAUAGUGACCAACGAAGGAUAAGACAAGUUCGGAAAAUCUGCUGGCAAUGGUAUUUGGCUGGACGAAGAAAAAAGUCGCCAUUUGUUCUUUAUCAGUUCUUUUUGAAAAUGCCAGAUUCUGAAGUCGAGAAGCUUCUCAAGUUGUUCACUUUUAUCCCACAAAGAAGAAAUUGCAUUUCUCAUUGAAGAACACAAAAAAUUACCAGAGAAGAGAAAAGCACAAAGAAGAUGUGACGCUUCAAGUCUAUGGAGAGGUAUGUCUAAAACAAGACGAAAAAGUCACAGCGGAGCUCUAUAAGGGAAAUGUUGAAGGACUAGGUGAACUGAAUUACAACGAAAUCCGAUCGUUGAGAUUUUUUCAGAGCCUGGACUAUCCAUUCUUGAUCUGGCACUAAAAGCUAAAUGUUUUACAACAGAGACUGAUGCGAUCAGAAUCAUCACAACUGGAGGGUUCUAUAUUAAUCAAAAGUAAAUGUAGUUUAUGUGUUCCGUUCCCAUUUUCAUAUGUUUUGUAUUUUAUUUAUUUAUUACAUCAAUUAGAGUUAAGAGUAUACUCAAAUAGACUAAUGAAUAUGACAAGUUUUAUUUAAAAUAUUAUAUUAUAAACUAAGAAUGUAACG